rnacentral:rRNA from 1 species
GUCGAGGGGUAUAGGUUUUCGGACCUAGAGACCGGCGCACGGGUGCGUAACGCGUAUGCAAUCUACCUUUUACAGAGGGAUAGCCCAGAGAAAUUUGGAUUAAUACCUCAUAGUAUAAUGACUCGGCAUCGAGAUAUUAUUAAAGUCACAACGGUAAAAGAUGAGCAUGCGUCCCAUUAGCUUGUUGGUAAGGUAACGGCUUACCAAGGCAACGAUGGGUAGGGGUCCUGAGAGGGAGAUCCCCCACACUGGUACUGAGACACGGACCAGACUCCUACGGGAGGCAGCAGUGAGGAAUAUUGGUCAAUGGGCGCAAGCCUGAACCAGCCAUGCCGCGUGCAGGAUGAAGCAUCUAUGGUGUGUAAACUGCUUUUGUACGAGAAGAAACACUCCUACGUGUAGGAGCUUGACGGUAUCGUAAGAAUAAGGACCGGCUAACUCCGUGCCAGCAGCCGCGGUAAUACGGAGGGUCCAAGCGUUAUCCGGAAUCAUUGGGUUUAAAGGGUCCGUAGGCGGUUUUGUAAGUCAGUGGUGAAAGCCCAUCGCUCAACGGUGGAACGGCCAUUGAUACUGCAAGACUUGAAUUAUUGGGAAGCAACUAGAAUAUGUAGUGUAGCGGUGAAAUGCUUAGAGAUUACAUGGAAUACCAAUUGCGAAGGCAGGUUGCUACCAAUACAUUGACGCUGAUGGACGAAAGCGUGGGGAGCGAACAGGAUUAGAUACCCUGGUAGU